GCAGCGGUAGCUCAGCUGGAUAGAGUAAUCGGCUACGAACCGAUCGGUCGGGGGUUCGAAUCCCUUCCGCUGCACCA
rnacentral:tRNA from 1 species